UAGGGAAUCUUCCGCAAUGGACGCAAGUCUGACGGAGCAACGCCGCGUGAGUGAAGAAGGAUUUCGGUUCGUAAAACUCUGUUGUUAGAGAAGAACAGCGCAUAGAGUAACUGUUAUGCGUGUGACGGUAUCUAACCAGAAAGCCACGGCUAACUACGUGCCAGCAGCCGCGGUAAUACGUAGGUGGCAAGCGUUGUCCGGAUUCAUUGGGCGUAAAGCGAGCGCAGGCGGUCAAUUAAGUCUGAUGUGAAAGCCCCCGGCUCAACCGGGGAGGGUCAUUGGAAACUGGUUGACUUGAGUGCAGAAGAGGAGAGUGGAAUUCCAUGUGUAGCGGUGAAAUGCGUAGAUAUAUGGAGGAACACCAGUGGCGAAGGCGACUCUCUGGUCUGUAACUGACGCUGAGGCUCGAAAGCGUGGGUAGCAAACAGG
rnacentral:rRNA from 1 species